GUGCAGCAGUCGCGAAAACUCCGCAAUACGCGAAAGCGUGACGGGGCUACCCCGAGUGUCGUCCGCUGAGGACGACUUUUCCACGCUGUAAGGAGGCGUGGGAAUAAGGAGAGGGCAAGUCUGGUGUCAGCCGCCGCGGUAAUACCAGCUCUCCGAGUGGUAGGGACGAUUAUUGGGCUUAAAGCGUCCGUAGCUGGCCUUUCAAGUCUCUUGUUAAAUCCAGCGAUUCAAUCGUUGGACUGCGGGAGAUACUGUUAGGCUAGGGGGCGGGAGAAGCCGACGGUAUUUCCGGGGUAGGGGUAAAAUCCUAUAAUCCCGGGAGGACCUGCAGUGGCGAAGGCGGGUAGCCAGAACGCGCUCGACGGUGAGGGGCGAAAGCUGGGGGAGCGAACCGGAUUAGAUACCCGGGUAGUCC
rnacentral:rRNA from 1 species